ensembl:miRNA
AUACUAAUCACCUGGGGAUCUUGUUAAAAUGCAGAUUUUGAUUCAGCGAGGCCCAGGUUCUGACUUUCUAAUAAGCUCCAGAGUGAUACUGAUGCUCCU